GUUAGAGUGGCAGAGCCCGGUAAAUGCAAAAGGCCUAAGCCCUUUCUCCCAGAGGUUCAAAUCCUCUCCCUAACC
rnacentral:tRNA from 1 species